GUAGGGGUAUGGAAGCUUAUGUUGUUUAUACUUGAGGAGAAUCGCGUCCCAUUGGCCCCUGCACAUGAAUUAUUGACGCAUGGGUACGAGUUUACAGAAACAGUGUAAAUCAGGUUAGUGCUCGUGCUCAAUGGGACAUUGCAAGGAUGUUCCGCAUUUGCUAAGCUUCGGAGGCCGGCCAUGACCUGAACGGAUGCAUUUGUGUCAUUGUAUGCAGGAAGAUAAGGCAAGGAGGGAGGUGAAGAUGGAGUGUAGUAUCCGUUGUAUUGUACAAUAGCUGUGGUGGUUGUGUUAUCAUAAAAGUCUUGAUAUUUCGGGGCAACAGAAUAAGUUAUAGCCGCCAUGUAAUAGUGAUCCGGGCGUUGGUUAGCUUCUAGUAAGACAUCAUAGGUUUGGCCAGGAAAUAUUGUGAUAAAAUCUCGUGUCAAUGGUUUCGUGUAGCUACCAUCUGUUCCAACCACUGUCAUUUUAUGCUUGUCAAUGGAGAAGAAGAGAGCCUCUUGCAAGGCAGCAUUGAUUAUGCGAAGUAGAUAGGUCUUUCCAUGAUCCACCGUUAGCUUGAAUGUGUCUGCAAUUAGAAAGGGAAAGUUGUAUACUUAUGACUAGCCAAAAGAAAAAGAAAAAGUUUCCAUGAGGAUCCACUAAUUAUGAAGUGAUUGAUUGAUGAGGGGUGUAAAUUUGGCUCCAUAGUUCAAAAUUAUAUUUGGACUAGCCUUCUUUUGUGUUUUAAAUCAUGGCUCUACCAUCCUCAUAGCUAUAUUCCUCUUUCUUAGCAUUAAGCUUUAAAUAUGUUGAUGUUAAUAAGAAAAAGUAAUAUGGCUAACAUAUAAGAAAAUGAAAUUGUGUACAAUUUUAAAAUGGGAAGUUAAACUUUGUACCUGAUUUUGAGCAUGGAUAUAGAUCACCGGGUUGUCCAUUUAUCAAUAAAGCAUCAGAGGGGUCGGGGUCACCUCCGGUUGCAAGCCCUUCAUCUCGAACCGCAUUCACAUCAUUCUUCCACCAUUCUCCUGCAUUUCAACAACUUCAAUAAUUUUAGAUUUUGCUUUGUUGGUUAAUUCAUAAUAUGUAAAUUAACCUUUAAAAGUAACAACACUUAUACCUAAUAUGAUAGGGACCUCUCUAUCAGGUUUGUGAAAAGGAUACUUGGUUCCAUUCUUGGGAUAGAUAAUUAUAGCUCCAUGAACAGUGGCUCGGGUCCAAUCACUGUGAGCAUGCCACCAUAGAGUGCCUUCUUCAGUGGAAAGGAUGAUCUUCUGUGUAAACUUUGACCCUGGCCGAAUUGGGCAUUGUGUGAUAUACUCGGGACCAUCUGUCCAUGGAUAUCUAGGCAUGGUCACCCCAUGCCUGCGAAACCAUAACUAUACGUUAAAACUAGUACUAAUUUUCAAAGUAACAAAAGAUGGCAUGCAACAACAUAUUAUCAUAAUAACAAGAGGCAUCAAUUGUAUUUCAAUGGAACUAAAGCAAAUAACCUAAAAGUAUUGUUUUAAAUUUGACUUUAUUUUCAAAGUUAUAUAUUGUAGCCCCCUCUUAGAUAUAAAAGAAUAUAUGUCAUGCAAGCAUGGUACCACUGCUCUUUCUUUGAGACACGCACAGGACCUACCAGUGAAUGGUGAUGUUUUCAUUUCCCUUGUUAUAAACGUCGACAAUGAUCGUCUCUCCUUUCGUAGCAUAUAUGGUUGGUCCCGGAAAUUUUCCAUUUACUGUUAAGAUGUUCUUGGUGCUACAAAGCCUUUUAUAUGAAGCUUCCCUCACCUGCAACCAAUUAAAAGUUAGCCAUGCAACCUGAUCCCAAAAGAAAUAUCACAUGCAUGAAUAGUUGUAUCGAUCCAUUCAUGUAAGUGUAUAACCAAUUAGAAAUUGAUAGCAUGCAUGAACGACUCAACGACACCAAGGUAGUAGGUCAUAUGGUACGAAAUGAGAGCAAUACCACUCCCUAAAUAUCAUGAUUACAAGGUGGCGUUAAGGCCAGAAUCAUAUAUAGUAUUUACCACAAAAGUAAGCCGACGGGUCGAAGCUUGGCAAUGGAUGCCACCACCAAAAACUAGAAACGCUAAAAUUUGCAGGAGGAAAACCUUCAUGAUCAGCCACAUUUUCCUUGGAAUAAAAGCCUCUUCUCUUGUCCUAAACACAACUCCUUCAAUUCUCUUACUGCUUUUGAUGUAUUUCUUUCAUAUAUGGUUCAUUAUAUAGGCAUGGUAAUUCUCUAGGGAUACAAUACGUGUCAAUAUAAGAGGAAGUGAUUUGAAUGUGUAUUGGUUUUCAAUGUUCUUUCAGGACGACUUCAAUGAGCAGGACCACUUCAAAAUAAUUAAUUAUGAUAUUUCUUACACGUUACCUACACGUUAUUUUAGAAUAAAUUUAAAAUAUCCUUUCACAAGUCUUUUAUUGAUUAUUUCAACAAAUGUUAAUUAAUUAAAUAUAUGUAGGAUAUUUUUAAAACUUUGACCUCCCGUAUGAAAACUGUUUUUCAUUGACAACUACUUUUAACAAUUAUUGGGUGGUUGGCGGCAAAGUUGUUUUCGUAUUGUUAAUACAAUUUGUCAUGAUCGUUGAUUUCGUUUGAAUGGGACAAAGUUGUUUCCAAUUUUUUUUAAACUUGAGAAUUGAGAUUAUAAAAGACAAGAUGAGAAGUUAUUUGGUAUUUCAGAAUUUUCCAUAACAAAUACAAAAAUAUAUUUUGUAAAAAGCUGAAAAUAGGAUACUAACAACCCCUUAUAGUAUUUUUUUUUUUCUCAACAAAAAGCAAUUUAAUACUAAUAAUAAAAAAUAAUUAUAGAUUUUAAAAUAUAUUUUUCAAAAGAAAUGAAUCUAUAAUUUAUUUGUUCAAAUGGUAUGUAUAUAUUGAUUAAAUAAAUAAAUUAUGAAAAGAUUUAUAUAUUUUCAAAAUGAGAUUUUAAAAUUGAACAGAGAUAUUUGUUUAUUUUAGAUUUGAAUGUUUGGAUUCAUCUAAUUCCAUAAAUUAUUAUUUCUUUAUUUUAUUGGAGUUGACUUUAAAUGUUUGGAUUGACCUAAUUCCAAGUGGACUAAGCCAACCUAAUAUUUGAAUGGAGAUGAAAGCAUGGGUAUAGGUUUGUACUUAAAGAAAUUUAAAAAGGAAAUGAAGAUAUGAUUAAAAUAAACCUGAUACAGUUACUCUAUAAGAAUAGAUCCUGUUUCUAACCUUUUAACAUACAAAUUUGGAAACCUAAACGUAUGGAUUGUUUCUUUCCUAUAAUGGAAUCCUAUAUUCCUUCUCAAAGCAGCGCUGACUUGAUAAAGGUUUAUUUUAUCUAUAUAUGGGAGGUCAAAGUUUUAAAAGUAUUCUACAUAUAUUUUAAAUUUAUUCUAAAAUAAUGUGUUUGAUUAAUUUCUUGGUCGAUUCUCAAAGUCAAACUUGUAUUUUGAAUUAGAAAAUUCAAGAGAUUCUAAGAAACUCGUCUUCUACGAUACACAACCUGAUUGAAGCUGAGCUUUGAGAAAUUUUCACAAUUGUUAGCAUUCUUCAGGCAUUUGGUUUAUUUAAAUUUUAGUAGGUAAUCAAAUAUCAUACACAACCUGCUCUUUGAAGUGGUCCUGGAAGAACAUUCAAAACCAAUACACAUUCACAUUACUUCGCUUAUAUUGAUACGCGGCGAGGAAUUGUUGAUACCCAAGCCACAUGUGAUCUGAUUUAAUGAAUGAAUCUCUGCCCUUCAUCCGAAGAAUUCUGGUGUUCUGGAUUGAUGGGAGCAAAAAGGUGACCAGUUUUACCUUGAGUCAAAUUCAAAUGACAAAAUAUAUUACCAGGGCAAUCAUGGACACCACCCUUAACUACAAAAAUAGCGCACACAGCCAAUCCCAUCAACCUAGUAUUACACCAAUUUGGAGGCAGAUGUACCAUAUUACUGUGGAGCCUAUACGCUGUUGGCUGAACCACUCAGGAAUUCAACUUCCAGGAACGAAAGUACUGGAUUCAAUAUGUGGAGUAUAUGGCACCAUCUGGGUCAUGAAAAUCAAUGUCAAGUUAUAUGGAAAUAAUGUAGGAGUAGUGCUCAAAGGAGUAUAAGAAUUAUUCCAUAGGAUUUAAUUGAUUUACUUUUACAAUAUGAUCAAGAGAGAGAGGAGAGAAACCUGAAUUGGGAAUUGAAAUCUUGGUAAUUUAUUUGCCAGACUUUGCAUUUCCCUUAAUGUAGCUGCCACAAAGUUGCUGCUUUCAUUCUCAGACAGUCUGAAGCAAUUAGAAAAUGUGAAUCGGAGGCCCCCACAUUCCUUGGAUCUGUAGACACUUGAUGGACACAAAAUGUUUUCCAUAACUGUGCCAUCAUGGGCAUCUAUUUCUUCUAUACUUGAUGGAAGCUCUGGUAAUGAUUGAAGCCUCUUGCAACAACCCAACCUAAGGCCUUUGAGCUGUGAAAGUUGAUUGAGGCGUGCAGGUAGAGUAACAAAAUUGUUUCUGCUCAGAUCUAAAUAUUCCAAUGAGCACAGAGAGCUAAAGUCAUUGGGAAUUGCUCCUUCCAAUAUGUGGCAAUCACUUAGAUUUAACUUUCUUAGGGAUCUUAAACCAAAGAAAGAUGCAGUUGCCACACUAUUCUUAGAUUUAACUUUCUUAGGGAUCUUCAUAUUUAGUUUCAUAGGAAAGAUGUUUUCAAAGAAAUCUGCAUUCUUUGUUUCUAUUAUAGUAUUGACAUCUACCAGAUUAUUUUCUGACUUAGUAACAAGAAACCUAUAUGCCACACUAUUCUCAGCAUAGCCAAUGAACGUUGCAUCAAAGGUUUUAGGACCUAGUUUUCGUUUUUUAGGUUCGGGGAGAAGAACUUUAGCUAAACACCCCCACACUUUCAGGUAUGCUAUAUUAGGUGCACAACCUUUGCACAACUCAUAAGGAGUUUUACUAGUUUUCUUGUAAGGUAUUCUAUUUUGAAUAUGGCAUGCGGAUAGGAUAGCUUCCCCCCACAAGUUCAAGGGUGCUCCUGAACUUACUAACAUUGGAUUCAUAAUUUCUUUUAAGGUCUUAUUUUUCCUUUAUGCUAUUCCAUUAGACUCAGGGGAAUAAGGAGGAAUAAGGAGGAGUAGUUUCAUGAAUGAUCCCAUGAUCUUCACAAAAAGAAUUAAAGGGGUUGGACUCAUACUCUCCUCCUCUUUCAGUUCUAAGCCUUUUAAUUUUCUUACUUAGUUGAUUUUCCAUUUCAUUUUUGUACUUGAUGAAAGCAUCUCUUGCUUCAUCUUUGUUUCUCAAAAGAUAUACCCUUGUAUACCUUGAGUAGUCAUCUAUGAAAGUUAUGUAGAAUUGAUCACCACCUCUAGUCAUUGUAUUUUUUAGGUCUCCUAAGUCACUAUGUAUUAAACUUAGUAGACCUGAUUCUCUUUCAACUGAUUUGCAAGAUUUCUUUGUGGCUUUAGAUUCUACACAAGAUUCACAUUUCCCAUGGUUUUCUAAGGACAGAUUAGGGAUUAAACUCAAUUCAACCAUUUUCUUCGUAUAUGAAAAGUUCACAUGUCCUAGUCUACCAUGCCAAAUAUCACAAGAAUCAACUAUGUAAGCAAAAGAAGAAGAUGUAUUAUUAUUGAUAAUAUCAUAAACAUUCAACAUAAAUAAACCCUGAUUACAAUAGCUCUUUCCCACAAAUGCAUCAUUCUUGGUUAAAACUAUUUUAUCAGAGUCAAACAAGAUCCUCACUCCUGCUUUUCCAAGUAGAGAUACCGACACCAAGUUCCAACAGAUAUCUGGCACAUGAAGAACAUCAUGUAGGGCAAGCACUUUUCCAGAUGUUAGCUUGAGGAGAACUUUCCCUUUGCCAAUCACUGGAGUAGAUCUAGAAUCACCCAUGAACACUUGUUCCUCUCCUUUCUUUAUAGUGGUAUAGGAAGUAAAUGCAUUUCUAUUCCCACAGAUGUGCCUAUUAACCCCAAAGUCUACCACCCAUUCCUUCAUAUUGGUGACCAUGCUCACCUCAAAGGAGAUUACUGUUGUGAUCACCUCUGUCUCUGCCAGAUUUGCCUUUGAACUAGUCUUCUCAAUUCUCUUCCUAUGGCGACAUUGAGCUGCAUGGUGUCUAGACUUGCCACAGACAAAGCAAUUACCCCAUUUUUUAAUAAUUGAGUUUUGGACCUUGUUUAAUGCAUUAGGCUUGGUCCUAAAGUUUUGUUUCCUGAACCUAUUAUUUUUGGGUUUAGAUUUUUCUUCUACUACAUUAGCUUUAGAAGACAAUUCCUUAGCUUUCUCAAUAUUGUCCCUAUUUCGGUUUUGUUCCUCAAUCCUAAUAUGGAUUAUGACAUCCUCUAAGGACAUUUGUUUCCUUUUAUGUUUCAUGUUGUUUUUAUAGUCUUUCCAAGACUCCGGAAGAGCCUCUACUAAAUAACUAGCCACAAAAGGUUCGGGUAAUUUAAUGUCUUCAAUAGCUAAGUCAUUAAUCAACAAGUGGUAGUCAUGGAUUUGAGAUGAUACAACUCUAUCCUCACUCAUUUGGAAAUUUCUAAAAUUCCCUAUGGCAUAUUUAUGAGUUCCCGCAUCUUGCAAAAUAUAUUUUUUAUUCAUUGCAUCCCAAAUUUAUUUUGCAACUUUAAAUUGACAAUAAAUAUCAAAAAGUUCAUUAGAAAGUGUACUCAGAAUAGCAUAGCUAACUUGUUUAUUUCUAGUUUCCCAGGUUGGUAACCUAUGAGAACCAUCUUAUUGUUUUGGAUCAGUCAAAAUAUGUCCUAAGUUCACCACAUCAAUUGUAGAGAAAACCCUUUCCUGUCAUCUCUUAAAGAAUGUCCCAUUAAAUGGAUUAAUUUUAGAGGUGUCAGGAUGGGUGUGAAUUAGGGAAGCUUUCAUUUGAAUUUAUUUCAAGAUUGUUGGAUUUUAAGGGUAUGGAAACAAAGACUAGCCCAAAAAGACACAAACAAAGAACAUAAUGAAUAAUAAAAAAAAACUUAUCGGCUGAGGCAUGACAAACACUGUCCUUGAAAUAGAUCCACCCUUCUCGAAGACGAACUCUAUGCACUAUGUGAGAAAGGGUAUAAAUAAUGUGAGAUAAGGUACAAAAAAAUGUGAAAAAAAUGUACGAAUAAUGUGAGAAAAUGGUAUGCACAAUGUUAUAAAAUGGUACAAAAAAUGUAAGACAUGGUAUGAAUAAUGUGAGAUAGGGUACAAAUAAUGUGAUAUAAUGUAUGAAGAAUGUGAAGAAUGUGAGCAUGGGUAUGAAGAAUGUGAGAAAUUGUACGAAAAAUGUGGAAAAAAAAGUGCGAACAAUGUGAGAAAUUAUACAAAACAAUACAAGACAUAUGGUACAAAUAAUGUGAGAGAGAUGGUAUGAAAAAUUUGAAAUAUGAUACGAACAAUGUAAGGAAUGUUACAACCAAUAUGAGAAAGAAUACAAAGAAUAGGAGGAAGGAUAUGAAGAAUGUGAGACAUAGUAUGAAAAAUCUGAGAAAGGGUACGAACAAUGUGAGAAAGAAUACAAAGAAUGUGAGAUAGGGUAUAAAUUGUAAGGAAACCCAGAUCACUCUAUUCCAUAUCUUAGAAUUAGGUUAGAUGCAUGCAAAAACUUUCCUAGGCUUUUCUAAAUCCUAUGCAUAAUAAAAACAAACAUUUAAAAACUUUAGCAAGAUUUAAAAAUCAAAAGAGAAAAACUAUACAUUGAUUUGGAUAUUCUCAAAUCAAAUCCAUGUAGUGAAGUUGAAGGUUGAAGUAUUCAGAGGUCUCAAUGACUCAAACUCGAUAUUUGAACCCCAAAGGUGGGUUGGCUAUUGCUAUCUACAAAUUGGAUGAUAGAACACAACUAUCUUAAAAACCCUAACCUUUGAGAAGGUAUUUAUAGGGUUCCUUAAUUAGGCUUAAGUGACUUAAGCUUACCGUGGACUUAGGUCACUUAAUUUAGCUCAAAAUAUGUCUUAAUCAAUUAAUUACAUGACACUAUUAGGUUAAUUGAUUAAUUAACCUAAUAUGGCCAAUCAAUUAACCUAAUAGGGCCAUGUAAUUAAUCAAUUAACCUAAUCUAGAGGUUUUAUUCACUUACCUUUGUGUAACCUUACAUAAUUACCAAAACACUAUUAUGCACAAAAGUUAAUUAAGAGUUAAUCUAACCCUUAUGAACCAUUCCACCAAGGUAUAUGAACUCGAGUGGGGACCCCACUAGGAACCAUAGGAUAAUACUGACACAUUCAUAAUCCAGUUUUGAAGUUAACUCAACAUUCCACUACAAAAAAUUAAUUGCACCACAAUAUCCUAUGUACAAUACAAUGAAACACCAAGUUCUCUAGAUCGUGACCUAUUAUCCACUAAUUUCACCACAAUAUCCUAUGUGCAUAUGAUCAAAUGACAUGCCCUACCUCACUAAGAGCAUACGUCAAAUUACUAAAGGAAUUACUGUGUGUCCACAGAUUUCAUGAUCACACGUCCUUAGGAUCACCCAAUGGAACACACUCUCUUAAAGUCCAUGAGAUAUCGUGGUGUCUCUAAUGAGAAUACCAAUUUUUAUCGGCUUCCAUCAAUAGUGACUUAAUCCAUAGGAAAUAUAUGAUCAACUUACGAUCUCACAGUAGGUCAAAGCCUCUACUAACUUUAACUUAUAUAAGCUUAGUAUUCUCUUAAGGUUGAGAGACAAUACAAUUUAAUAGCUUGGUGAAGUCAUGACUACAUGAUAGUCUUAUGUCGUGACUCACCAUAGGUUCUGUUCAAUAUUGUGCAAACUUACACACUAGUGCACUCACCAUGGGAACCCCAUCCCAAUGGCCAAGACCAAUCAUUCCUCCUAUUAGAAGGUAGUGCACUACAACUUCUAAUGGGUUACCUAGGUUCAUGAACUAGCUAUGAACAAGUCAUCUAUUUGUAAUAAACCCAUGACUUGGAUCUUCUAUGCAACUCCUAAUGCACUUAAGUCGCAUUUAAUCAAACCUAAAUGCUUACAAGGUAUAGUGAAUGUCAUGUCAUGUCAUGUCAUGCUUUUAAAGAUUUUAUCAUAACUUGAAUAAUGUGAGACAUGGUACGAACAAUGUAAGAGAGAGUACAAAUAAUAUAAGAAAGAGUAAAAACAAUGUUAGAAAGAGUAUGAACAAUGUGAGACAAGAUAUGAAGAAUGUGAGGGAGGGUAUGAACAAUGUGAAGGAGGGUACAAACAAUGUGAGACAAUACAUGAAGAAUGUGAGGAAUGAUACAAAGAAUGUGAUGAAUGGUACAAAGAAUGUGAGGCAAGGUAAGAAGAAUGUGAGAAAGCGUACGAACAAUAUGAGAAAGUGUAUGAACACUGUGAGACAAUGUAUGAAUAAUGUGAGAUAAUGCAUGAAUAAUGUAAGAUAGUGUACAAAACAAAGUGAGAAAGAAUACGAACAAUAUGAGAAAUUAUAUGAAAAAUAUGGAGGGUAUAAAGAAUAUGAGAUAUUAUAUAAAUAAUGUGAGAAAAUAUACGAAAAAUAUGAGAUAUAGUACGAAUAAUGUAGAAAUGGUACGAACAAUGUGAGAUAAGCUAUGAAGAAUGUGAGAAAUAGUACUCUUCAUAUCCUUUCUCACAUUAUUUAUACCCUCGCUCAUGUACUUUUGUACAUAUUCUCACAUUCUUUGUACAUGAUCUCGCAUAAAAUAGAUAUUGUUUUAUUAAAUACAAAAAAAUUAUAAAAAAUUAUAAAAAUAUUGAAUUUUUAAAAAACCAAAUUGAUAACAUGUAUGGCUAAAUAAUGUAGUUCUCUAACUACUAUUUUUUUAUUAUUUUAUUUUAGUUUCUUCAUGGAUAUAAUGGACAAAGGCAAACGAAAGAAAUUCAUCAUUGAUUUGAAUAAUGAAAACUUUGAUUAAUAAUAUGAUUGCAAUGUGAAAACCGGGUUUGACAAAAAGCCCAUGCUAGUUUAAGAGAAUAUUUUGUAUGGUUUAAGACUUGAAGAUGUAUGGGAAAUGGAGUUCAACUCAAUAGAUGAGAUAGAAGAAUUUUACAAUUUAUACGUAAAGUUAACAAAUUCAAUGUUAGAAAGGAUGAUGUUAAAUGAGAUAAGAAUGAAAAUAUAGCAUCUCAUAUGUGGGUUUGCUCAAAGAAGGAUAAAGACAAACAAUAUGUUUGGAGAAUGAAAAUCGAAAACGAGAACAUAAGACAAUAACUAGAGUUGGUUGUGAGACAUCACUUCGUAUCGAGUUUAACAAACAAAUAAAUAAGUGUAUUAUGAUGGAGUUUAUGGGUGAUCAUAAUCAUCCUUUGGUGGAACCAAAAAUACCCAAUUCUUUCAAUCCCAAAGGGUCAUGAGGAAUGCAUAUAAGGCUUAAUUGAGUGCAAUGCGUAGUGUUUGCCUGAGAACUAGACAAAUUAUGGAUUACAUGGUGCAACAAUCAAAUGGAUAUAUUAAUGUGGGCUUCACAAAGAAAAAAAGAUCUAUAUAACCAUGUUAAUGUUGAUUGUAAAGUUCAGAUAAGAAAUGGUGAUACAAAGGGUACACUUUCUUACUUGUGUGGAAAGGCUUAAAUGGAUACAUCAUUUUAUUACAAGUACAAUGUUGAUAAAGACAAUCGCUUAACAAACUUGUUUUGGCCAAAUUCUACAAGAAUAUUGGAUUACACUUAUUUCAGAAAUGUGUUAGCAUUUAAUAGAACUUAUGAGACUAAUGCUUAUAGAAAACUAUUGGUCAUCUUAGUUGACAUUAACCAUCACAAUCAAAUUGUAGUGUUUAGAUGUUCAUUAUUGGUAGAUGAGAGUCUUUACACUUAUACAUAGGUUUUGGAGACAUUUUUGGAUGUAAUGAAUAAAAAGAAGUUUUUUAUUUUUUUCUGUUAUUAUAGAUGAGGACAAAGCAAGGUGUCAAGCCAUUAAGAGAAUAUUUCUAUAGUUUUAUCAUUGGUUAUGUGCUUAUUAUAUUCAAUGCAAGACAUUCAUUAAUGUCUAUGUCAAAGACUUUACUUAUCAUUUUUCUAGGUACAUGUUCAUGGAAGGCACCGUUAAUUUGAAUGUGCAUGGAGUGGCAUGGUGGAAAUGUGUAAUCUCCACGAACAUAAUUGGGUGAUAGACAUAUAUGCUAAGUGUCCUAGAUGGGCAAAGGCUUAUUUAAAGGUGCAUUUCUUUGCAAGUUUGAAAGCGCACAAAGGUGUGAAAGGAUGAAUGCAUACUUGAAUAGUUUCCUUAAAACUCAUUUAAAGUUGUUUGAGUUUUUGAAGCAUUUUGAUUGAGCACUCUCAUGUAUUCAUCAUAAUGAGGCAAAGGCAAAGUUUGAGAUGCACACUCUUUUACUUCUUCUAAACUCCAAACUCCAUGAAAUUGAGAAAUAUACAGACAUUGUUUUCACUCGGAAAUCUUUUCUCAAAUUUAGGGAUGAAAUGAAUGCGAAACUUUUUUCCCUUAUUAGUACAAAAAAUCAUAGAGGUUAUCAUGUCCAUACAUUGACUAAAUUUAGAAGCUCUGACAAGUUCUCAAAAGUAUGUUAUGGUAAUUGUGAUGAGUCUAUGAAAUGUACUUGGAAAGGGAGACACAGGUUGGUGGUCUUUUGGGGGGAAUAGAAGAUAGAGAGGGAGACACCACUUUUUUGGAGAACGGAGGUCCACACAGGUUCAGAUUUUGGUGAGGCUUUCCGGGGAUUUUCGGAAGCAGAUUCAACAGAUUUUGGUGAAGGAGUUCUCUAGGCGGUUUUUUCUGUUGUUAAGUGGCAGCCGCAUGGACUGCAUGAGGAGGGUUGACGUCUCAUAGUUACCUUCUUUCCUCCAUUGAUAGUAGCCCACAAGGCCACCUUAAGUGGGCGACACAAUAAGGCUGCCAUGCACGCAUGAGGCAGCCAUGACGCUGCCAUGUGGGAGAAGGUAGCAACCACUUCCGCAUUUUUUCUAUGUAUCUCCAGAAACUCCUUUGUACAGCCCACACACGGGCUAAUGAAGCAGAUUCCUGCAUGUGUCACUACAUGCAAAAUAUAUGCAGAAUAUAUAUGAGCCUUGAAUUUGUCACUACAUGCAAAAUAUAUGCAGAAGUGAUUGAAAAUGCAUGACCACCUUUUCCUGCAUGUGAAUGUGUUGAGCUGUAUGGUGCAAUUACUAAUGAAAUUCUCAAUUUGGUUGAUAAGUAUUUUGAGAUGCAAAAGCAUGAUGUUGUCUGGGCAUUGGAAAUUUAUCAGAAAGCAGGAGAGCCAUCAAACAUUCACCCGACAAGCAAGAGAAACACAUAGGCCGCACCAUUCUCCAACAAGACACAACAACAUACAUUCUUGAAGGUAAGUCCCUUUUUAAAAUUUUAUUUUAGUUUAAUUUUAAUUUAUUUAGUUAGUUUAGAUGUUUUUUCUUCAUAAUUAGUUUAAUUAAUUCUACAUUAUAAAGUUCUUAUUUUUCAUUCCGAUUUAGUUUAGUGUUGAUUUUUCUUUUAAUUUAAGUGUGUUUGUGGUUUUAAUUCAAUAGUUUAAUUAAUCUUAUUAGAUAAAGUUCAUAUAUAUAUAUAUAUAGAUUAUCCCAAAUUAGUUUAGUUUUAAUCUUUCUUUUAGUUUAAGUGUGUUAGUAAUUUUAAUUCAGUAGUUUAAAUAAUCAUGUCAGAUAAAGUUCGUGUUUUUAAUUCUAAUUAGCUUCGUCUUAAUUUAUUCUUUAGUUUAGAUUUGUUGUUGAUUAUAAUUUAUUAGUUUAAUUAAUCUUAUUAGAUAAAGUCUAAUUUCAAUUUAGUUUAGUUUUAAUUUAUUCUAUAAUUUGAGUUUGUUUGCGAUUUUAAUUCAAUUGUUUAAUUAAACCUCUUAGGUAAAGAUCUUGUUUUUAAUUCCGAUUUAGUUUAGUUUUAAUUUACUUAUUUAUUUAUUUAUUUUAGUUUAGAUGUGUUUGUAAUUUUAAUUCGACAAUUUAAUCGAUCUUAUUAGAUAAAGUUGAUGUUUUUAAUUCUAAUUUAGUUUAAUUUUAAUUUAUUUUUUAGUUUAAAUGUGUUUGUGUGUUUAAUUGACCUUAUGCUAGCUCUUGAUUUGUUAUUCUCAAUUUAGGCGUUUUCUUGAAUCUUAGUCAUUAAUUCUUGGUGGAUAUCUCAUUAGUUUAUUUAAUCUAAGUUUUAAUAAUUUAUUAUUUCGGUAGUCUCUUGUCAAAUUUACUUUUCAGAUGCCAUCGGAAAAUAGUGAAGAUUGACCUCCAUUCUCACCACUUUAGUUUGUUUGGUUGUCAAAAAUUUUACUUUGUGAUUUUGUUUACUUUUAUUUUGCUUGUUUCUUAUGUUUUGAUUGUUUUCAAAUUAUUUUAUUUUAUUUUAAAAUAAAAUAUUUUUCUCAAAAGAUCCAUUUGAAAAUUCUAUUUUAAAAAUAAUUCAUUUAGAGUCUUUAGAAUCAGAAUCUCAUUUUUUAAUAAUAUGCAACCAUGUCUUGAUUGGUUUGCAUUUUUCUCAGUUUUCAAUAAAAAUUCUGGUUUUAAAUAGAAUAUGAAUCUAAACUUGUGGUCCCAAACAAAUGGGAUAAUUCUGGGCUAGAUUUUUGUAUAUCAAUUGGGGAAUUGGUGAAACCCCUACAUAAGAAAAUUCUUCAAAACUCAUAUUUUUUGCCACCUUUGCUAUUUCAUGAAAUCAUGUCUAUUUAUUUUUUAGGAAUUAUAUACAAGAUUUAUGUGAUAAUUGAUGAUUUCGUAUACUUUGAUCAUUUUUGCUAGGCUAAUUAUAUAACAAGCACGUUAGGAUUUCUUUAUUUUAUUAUUUAUUAUCUAACCCCUCAUGUCUUGUGAAAGCACGUUACAAGUUAUCUAUGCUAUCCAAGUACGUCCUCUAUCACCCACCUUCUAAAUUUUGUGAAUAUACCGGUCACUGUGAACUGCACUUAUGUUUGAUAGUGCUUGGGUGUUUUGAUAUUUGUUUCAUUGUUCGAUUAUUUUUUAUAAAGCGCAUGCUGGAUGAUAUAUUAUUUGAACUAACUUUGAUGUCUUGUGAGGGCGCUAAGAAGCAGUUUAGGUACACACCUUAAAUCUUCUUUAUAAUUAUGAUUUGUUUUUCUUAUUUGGCAUGCUAUUUUUGAAAUCACCUAGCUUACUUAGGUAUCCAUGAUCAACCAAUUAAUUGUCACAUUUCCCUCAACUUAGCCAGUAGAGAUCUUUUUAGGGCUUAGAGGAGUGUUACCUCUUAAAAGUACCUUCCCAAUGGUAACUUGAUUCUUGAACCAAGACUUGGGUUUUCGAGACAUGCUUUUCCAAAAUUGUGGAGUCACUUAUUUAGGGUUUUCUUUCUUGUUUUAUUUUCCCUUUAAAGUAAAAUAAAAUAAGGGGCGACUCCAGCUUUUCCAAAACUAAUUUUUCACCAAUAAAAGCGAGUCUCACUGAUUGAGUGGGAACGCACGUGAAAAAUGUGGGUCCACAGUAUAUAUGGGGCAACCUAAAGGAUUUAUUGUUAUAAGAUAAGAACACCAAGUUAGAGAUAGAUACAUUUAGCUAGGUUGGUUUUUAACCAAUCCAAGAAUCAAAUAGGAGUUCAUUGGUUUUAACUAAAGUACAACAAAUUUAUUUAUUUACUCAUACUAAUCCAACUUAAUAUCAAUUCGAUUCAGUUUAGUUAACUCAAUUUAGACAAAAUUAUUGAGUUUGUAUGUUUUUUUUCACUUCGACCAUACAACCAAAAUGAUCAAAUUGUUUUAGAUAUAUAUAUAUUUUACAAGUAAUACAAUUAAAAUUUUUUUAAAUAUGUGUGGGAGCAACCUAUGGGUUAUUUGCUUGUUGGGAGUAAGUCAAUGAGUUGUAUUAUUGACAUAUUGGGCACUUGUGACUUGAAAUUAUAUUAUCAUCAUUAUUAAGUCCCAAAGUACAAUGAUUUUAAAUUUUAGAUCAUGCUUAUGCCAUAAGCAACUUUUAAUUUGUAAUAAAGCCAUACGAGUUAGGCUCCAAGCCACUAACACCGAAUUGUAGCCCAACUAAGUUGGCUUUGGAUGAGCAUGGUUCGACUCAUAAAGUCCCAAGAUUCUCCACAACACUCCAAAAUCCAAGCAAUUAUAUUUGUCCCACUCCUCUACUACUUGGGUUUCUUUGCCAGUCCACUUUUGGUAAGUGAUCUAGGUUGAAUUUUCCAUAAGCCAAAUACCAAAAUAGAAUUACUCAAGUAAGAAGACUUCUAAAGAGAAUAGUCUAAAGAGCUACUACAAAAGAGAAUAGGAGAUGGUUAGAGUAAUGGUGGUGACUAUUGAAAGAGUCGAUGGUGGUGGGAAGCCAUAGCUACUGGUGAAGAGGAAGUUAGGUGAAUUGGAGACUCAGUGAAGAAGAUAAUGCGAACUUGAUAAAAUUUCCUCCAACUUUUCCUUUUCUCUCUUAUUUUUCCCGCUAAUUUUUAAGGAAAGUAGUAGGGAAAAUAUUACAAUAUUUUCUUUAGUAUUUUCCUUUAUAUUUUUUUUCCAUCAUAUUUUUCAUGUCACCCAAACUGAGGAAAAUAACUUUCCAUAAUAUUUUUUUUCCCUUUCCCUUGCAUUUUCUGAAAACUAAACACAACCUUUAUAAAUAAAAAAUUAAGAAUUACAGUAAGACGGUAUAUUCUUCCUUUUUCUUCCUGCAUUUCUACAUCCACUACUCUAUUUUACAUCAUAUUUUUACUCCCUUCUUCAAUCAGCAUUCCUCUCUUUAUAUAGAGUUAUCUUCACACUAAUUCAUAAGAUAAGAAAGAUGAAUGAACCUUGGGGCAAGGUUGGACAAUUGGUAGCAACGUGUCGACCUCUCUUUAGCAUGAAAAUGGCUAGAACGUGUUAAGCUCUCUUAUUAGAUGACGUGUCAACUAUAGGGCAAUCAUAGGAUGGGGAAUAUAUGGUAAUUAUGCAAAAAAAGAAAAAAAGAAAAAAAGAAAAAGAAAAAUCGAUAUCCAAUUAUAUAGAAAGACAUCUUCCAACAUUUGAUAUAAAUAAAAAUUAAGAGAAAAAUAUUUUUAAAAAACAUAUUAAACCUAAAAAUAGGGAAUUAAUAAUAAAAUAAAGUAAAAAGGUAAAAUUAAAACCAAAUAUUAAAAAUAAUGUUAUUCAGGUUAAAUCAUUGGGUUUGCUAGAGGAGUUUAUAUAUAUAUAUUAGUUUUUUUUCUUCUUUUUAAUCCUAUCUAUGUUGUUGAUAUUAAUGCAUUGAAUUUGAUGUUACCUAAAACAAAAUUAUAUUUCAUGUUCUCUAUUAUAAGUCGACAACCAUACCUUAUGUUAUAUUUUAGAUAAAGAACGAAUAAUGAAGAUUGGAGUUGUAAGAAAUUAGGAGAUCCUAAUUUUAAAUAUGUAACAAAGUUCUAUAAUCACUCCAAUCCACAUUUAAAAAUUGUAUUUCUUUCUAAUAUGGGAGCAAACUUUUUCCUUCUUUCUUAUAAUUUUCAUUUGGGAAUGAUUUAAAAAUAAAUAAAUAAAAGCCCUUCCCAAUAUUAAAAAAAACACUCUUAUAAAAAUUAAUUAGGUGGAUGGUAAGGUCAAAUUCGGGAUAGCUUCAUAUUUUUUGCUUUAAUUGAAACUUAAAAUCAAAAUUAAAGUAAUAAUUUUUAAGAUGUUGUAAAAGUUUUAUUAAACAUGAAAGAACUUAUUGUGUAAACAAAAAUAGAACUAUAGAAUUCUUAUAAGAAAUAACAAUUUUAUGAAUUCUAUAUGAAACCUUUUUUAAAAGUUAUAAGUUUUUUUAUAAAUAAUUAAAUAGGUAUAGAAACUUUUAUUCAACUUAAUUUUUUUUUAACGGUUAAAAGUCAAUCCAAAUAAAAUUUAAAUAUAUUUGAAAAUCAUUUUUAAAAAUCCAAAAAAUCACUUAAAAAUAAUUUCUGAACUUUUUUUUUUUUUAAUUUACAUUCAAAUACUAAGUGAUUCUUUUAAAAAUCAUUUAUAAUGUCAAAAUAUUUUUUUAUGGAUAAAAACACUAGAAAUAAAAAACAUUUUAAUUCAUGAAAUUUCAUUUAUUGUUAUUUAUUUUUUGGGAUUUAAUUCUUUACAAUUAUUUUUGAGUGUUUAUAAAGUAUAAUUAGGUUAUGCCCAAAUUUAUUCCUUUAACUCUAUCCAUUAGAUAUAAGUAGCGUGAAAUUUUGGCCUGUCUCCACCUUUCUUCACUUCUGACAUUGUCAUGCAGUGCUUCGUCAAUGGAUAAUAUAUUAAUUUAUUUCUUAAUUUAAUAGCAUUGGAGUGUCAGCUGGAAUAAAAUGAAAGUUCAAUCAUUUAAUCUUUUUUAGCACACCACUCAUAACUGUCAGUGAUUUCCUGCCAACUUAACAUAUUGACAUGGACUUGGAGAGUUCGGUCAAUUAAAGCAGCUUGGUUAAUUGUAAGUGUUUUUUCUCUAAACCAUAAAUUCCUACGUUUUAAUUUAUAAAAACAAGUGAUUUGUUUUUACUUAAGGAAGCAGGAAAGGGUUUAAAAUAAGAGUUGAAAAGUAUGCCAAUUAUUUUAACUUAAAAUACUUAAAUAAAAAGGAAUUGAUUUUAUCUCAAUUGUAUAAGACUUUAUAAAAAUUAUCAUUUAUAAUUUUUUUGAUUAUUAAUAUGAUACGUAACCUUUGACAGAAUUGGAAUAAAAUAUGGAUAAUUAAAAAAUGUCAACUAUCCCAUUUCAAACUUUUCUAAUACAGCAUGAUAUUUUAUCAUGUUGAAUGAAAUGGGAAUGACCAAAAAUUGUCAAAUCAAAGAUUUAUCUAUUGUGGACAUGGCAUUCAGAGGCUUCUUAACAUUGUAUUGGUCUAUUUAAUGAGUUGAAAUAAGAACACAACAUCAAAUUCUCUUUUUAUAAUCAAAGACUGCUAUGGAAAAUUCCACCAUAGCAUAUCUCAAAUUCCAUUAAUAAUCCCAAACACAAUAUUCCGCAACUUUACAUUAUUCUUUUUAUCAACUUUACACAAAAAAUUGAAGAGGAAUACUAACUUAAAUCAAACAGAAAUUAAAUCAUGAAAGAUGAAUAAUACAAAUAUUCAAUGAAAUCUUUGGCGUGUUAUUUCUUUGCAGCUUCAACAUGGUGGCAUGUCCGACGGAGGAGACAACAUUUGAGCUUCCGGGUGUUUACCAUUUUUCACUAUGAACGCAGUUUCCAUGCCCCAAGUCAGAUGGCGUUCUACAUGGCAGUGCAUGAACCACACUCCUGCAACAGAGAAAAUAUACCAACAUUACACCUAACUUUAUUGUAAUAUUAAGAAAAAAUAUUUCAUUGGUAUGGAGGUUGGCAGUUUCAAGGGUUUUUUUCUUUAAUAGAGGACAUGAGUGCUUGGAACAUACCAGGGUUGGAUGCCUCGAAUCUGAUUGCAACCCAACCAUUCGAAGGAACAGAGAUGGUAUUCUGAAAGGGAGGAUCCACCAGAUUAUAGCGCAAAGGGUCCUUAUUUCCAUCGAAAUUCCCAAAUCCCCAUCCAACAACAUAGAAACUGUAUCCAUGGAGAUGCAUGGGGUGGUGUGUCGCUGCAAGCACAUUUGUCCCUUGAAAAACAAUCUCCACUGUGGAGUUAUACUCGAGCACCCUUACUUCUGUUCCGCUGCUCGGCAACUGAUAGAUUAAUGGAAGAUAAUCAGCUGUAAAAUCGAACACCAGUGGUGGAUCACUAGGAAAUUUAUCUCCAUAUACACCACUGAUGUUAUAAUAGUAAGCUUGCAGUAUGUCAACUGUAGGGGUAUGGAAGCUUAUGUUGUUUAUACUUGAGGAGAAUCGCGUCCCAUUGGCCCCUGCACAUGAAUUAUUGACGCAUGGGUACGAGUUUACAGAAACAGUGUAAAUCAGGUUAGUGCUCGUGCUCAAUGGGACAUUGCAAGGAUGUUCCGCAUUUGCUAAGCUUCGGAGGCCGGCCAUGACCUGAACGGAUGCAUUUGUGUCAUUGUAAGCAGGAAGAUAAGGCAAGGAGGGAGGUGAAGAUGGAGUGUAGUAUCCGCUGUAUUGUACAAUAGCUGUGGUGGUUGUGUUAUCAUAAAAGUCUUGAUAUUUCGGGGCAACAGAAUAAGUUAUAGCCGCCAUGUAAUAGUGAUCCGGGCGUUGGUUAGCUUCUAGUAACACAUCAUAGGUUUGGCCAGGAAAUAUUGUGAUAAAAUCUAUUGUCAAUGGUUUCGUGUAGCUACCAUCUGUUCCAACCACUGUAAUUUUAUGCUUGUCAAUGGAGAAGAAGAGAGCCUCCUGCAAAGCAGCAUUGAUUAUGCGAAGUAGAUAGGUCUUUCCAUGAUCCACCGUUAGCUUGAAUGUGUCUGCAAUUAGAGAAGGAAAGUUGUAUACUUAUGACUAGCCAAAAGAAAAAGAAAAAGUUUCCAUGAGGAUCCACUAAUUAUGAAGUGAUUGAUUGAUGAGGGGUGUAAAUUUGGCUCCAUAGUUCAAAAUUAUAUUUGGACUAGCCUUUUUUUGUGUUUUAAAUCAUGGCUCUACCAUCCUCAUAGCUAUAUUCCUCUUUCUUAGCAUUAAGCUUUAAAUAUGUUGAUGUUAAUAAGAAAAAGUAAUAUGGCUAACAUAUAAGAAAAUGAAAUUGUGUACAAUUUUAAAAUGGGAAGUUAAACUUUGUACCUGAUUUUGAGCAUGGAUAUAGAUCACCGGGUUGUCCAUUUAUCAAUAAUGCAUCAGAGGGGUCAGGGUCACCUCCGGUUGCAAGCCCUUCAUCUCGAACCGCAUUCACAUCAUUCUUCCACCAUUCUCCUGCAUUUCAACAACUUCAAUAAUUUUAGAUUUUGCUUUGUUGGUUAAUUCAUAAUAUGUAAAUUAACCUUUAAAAGUAACAACACUUAUACCUAAUAUGAUAGGGACCUCUCUAUCAGGUUUGUGAAAAGGAUACUUGGUUCCAUUCUUGGGAUAGAUAAUUAUAGCUCCAUGAACAGUGGCUCGGGUCCAAUCACUGUGAGCAUGCCACCAUAGAGUGCCUUCUUCAGUGGAAAGGAUGAUCUUCUGUGUAAACUUUGACCCUGGCCGAAUUGGGCAUUGUGUGAUAUACUCGGGACCAUCUGUCCAUGGAUAUCUAGGCAUGGUCACCCCAUGCCUGCGAAACCAUAACUAUACGUUAAAACUAGUACUAAUUUUCAAAGUAACAAAAGAUGGCAUGCAACAACAUAUUAUCAUAAUAACAAGAGGCAUCAAUUNNNNNNNNNNNNNNNNNNNNNNNNNNNNNNNNNNNNNNNNNNNNNNNNNNNNNNNNNNNNNNNNNNNNNNNNNNNNNNNNNNNNNNNNNNNNNNNNNNNNNNNNNNNNNNNNNNNNNNNNNNNNNNNNNNNNNNNNNNNNNNNNNNNNNNNNNNNNNNNNNNNNNNNNNNNNNNNNNNNNNNNNNNNNNNNNNNNNNNNNNNNNNNNNNNNNNNNNNNNNNNNNNNNNNNNNNNNNNNNNNNNNNNNNNNNNNNNNNNNNNNNNNNNNNNNNNNNNNNNNNNNNNNNNNNNNNNNNNNNNNNNNNNNNNNNNNNNNNNNNNNNNNNNNNNNNNNNNNNNNNNNNNNNNNNNNNNNNNNNNNNNNNNNNNNNNNNNNNNNNNNNNNNNNNNNNNNNNNNNNNNNNNNNNNNNNNNNNNNNNNNNNNNNNNNNNNNNNNNNNNNNNNNNNNNNNNNNNNNNNNNNNNNNNNNNNNNNNNNNNNNNNNNNNNNNNNNNNNNNNNNNNNNNNNNNNNNNNNNNNNNNNNNNNNNNNNNNNNNNNNNNNNNNNNNNNNNNNNNNNNNNNNNNNNNNNNNNNNNNNNNNNNNNNNNNNNNNNNNNNNNNNNNNNNNNNNNNNNNNNNNNNNNNNNNNNNNNNNNNNNNNNNNNNNNNNNNNNNNNNNNNNNNNNNNNNNNNNNNNNNNNNNNNNNNNNNNNNNNNNNNNNNNNNNNNNNNNNNNNNNNNNNNNNNNNNNNNNNNNNNNNNNNNNNNNNNNNNNNNNNNNNNNNNNNNNNNNNNNNNNNNNAGGAGAGAAACCUGAAUUGGGAAUAGAAAUCUUGGUAAUUUAUUUGCCAGACUUUGCAUUUCCCUUAAUGUAGCUGCCACAAAGUUGCUGCUUUCAUUGUCAGACAGUCUGAAGCAAUUAGAAAAUGUGAAUCGGAGGCCCCCACAUUCCUUGGAUCUGUAGACACUUGAUGGACACAAAAUGUUUUCCAUAACUGUGCCAUCAUGGGCAUCUAUUUCUUCUAUACUUGAUGGAAGCUCUGGUAAUGAUUGAAGCCUCUUGCAACAACCCAACUUAAGGCCUUUGAGCUGUGAAAGUUGAUUGAGGCGUGCAGGUAGAGUAACAAAAUUGUUUCUGCUCAGAUCUAAAUAUUCCAAUGAGCACAGAGAGCUAAAGUCAUUGGGAAUUGCUCCUUCCAAUAUGUGGCAAUCACUUAGAUUUAACUUUCUUAGGGAUCUUAAACCAAAGAAAGAUGCAGUUGCCACACUAUUCUUAGAUUUAACUUUCUUAGGGAUCUUCAUAUUUAGUUUCAUAGGAAAGAUGUUUUCAAAGAAAUCUGCAUUCUUUGUUUCUAUUAUAGUAUUGACAUCUACCAGAUUAUUUUCUGACUUAGUAACAAGAAACCUAUAUGCCACACUAUUCUCAGCAUAGCCAAUGAACGUUGCAUCAAAGGUUUUAGGACCUAGUUUUCGUUUUUUAGGUUCGGGGAGAAGAACUUUAGCUAAACACCCCCACACUUUCAGGUAUGCUAUAUUAGGUGCAUAACCUUUCCACAACUCAUAAGGAGUUUUACUAGUUUUCUUGUAAGGUAUUCUAUUUUGAAUAUGACAUGCGGAUAGGAUAGCUUCCCCCCACAAGUUCAAGGGUGCUCCUGAACUUACUAACAUUGCAUUCAUAAUUUCUUUUAAGGUCUUAUUUUUCCUUUAUGCUAUUCCAUUAGACUCAGGGGAAUAAGGAGGAAUAAGGAGGAGUAGUUUCAUGAAUGAUCCCAUGAUCUUCACAAAAAGAAUUAAAGGGGUUGGACUCAUACUCUCCUCCUCUUUCAGUUCUAAGCCUUUUAAUUUUCUUACUUAGUUGAUUCUCCAUUUCAUUUUUGUACUUGAUGAAAGCAUCUCUUGCUUCAUCUUUGUUUCUCAAAAGAUAUACCCUUGUAUACCUUGAGUAGUCAUCUAUGAAAGUUAUGUAGAAUCGUUUACCACCUCUAGUCAUUGUAUUUUUUAGGUCUCCUAAGUCACUAUGUAUUAAACUUAGUAGAUCUGAUUCUCUUUCAACUGAUUUGCAAGAUUUCUUUGUGGUUUUAGAUUCUACACAAGAUCCACAUUUUCCAUGGUUUUCUAAGGACAGUUUAGGGAUUAAACUCAAUUCAACAAUUUUCUUCAUAUAUGAAAAGUUCACAUGUCCUAGUCUACCACAAGGAUUGAAAUAUUGGCAAAUACGGAUAUAUCGGUACUUGGAUUUUACGGAUAUAUCGGAAAUAUCAGAGAAAUAUCGGUUGAUAUUUUUCAUCAAAUAUCGGUGAGACAAAAAUUAUCCAAAAUUGAUGGGAAUGCUUAGAAAAAUCCAAAGAAUGAUAAAAUAAGCAAGAAUAUACAUGUUAAAGUUAUUUUAUAAGUGUAAUUGACAUAAAUAUGGUCAGAGAAAAAAAUAUCGGUAAACAGUUUACGAUACUUGGAUUUUAAGAAUUGAAAAUAUGAAAUUUGGAAUUGUACACUUGGAUAAAGUGAAGAUUGAUUUUCCACCAUUGGAUCACAAAUCUGACCGUUGGAGGCCUUUACAAAUACACGGGUGAAAUCUGGGCCAUCAGAUCCUCAAAAAUUCAAAAUUGGCCGUCAGAUCAAAAUCCUUGAAGUUGGAAAAAAUUGGCAAUAUAUAGGUAAAAUCCCUGAUUUUUUGGGCUCUUCCUCCGGCUUCUCCUCGCAUGCCUCCACUGGCGAUUUUUCGCCGAUUUAUCGGUGCUUCACCGAUAUUUCGCUGAUAUAUUGGCGAUUUUGCCGAUUUUUUACCGGUUUUUCCUUUGAUCGAUAAUCGGUGACGAUUAUUGUUUCGGUGCCGCCCGAUAUUCGAUAUUUCUCCGAAAUAUCGACGAUAUAUCCCGAUUUUUCAAUCCCUGGUCUACCAUGUCAAAUAUCAUAAGAAUCAACUAUGUAAGCAAAAGAAGAAGAUGUAUUAUUAUUGAUAAUAUCAUAAACAUUCAACAUAAAUAAACCCUGAUUACAAUAGCUCUUUCCCACAAAUGCAUCAUUCUUGGUUAAAACUAUUUUAUCAGAGUCAAACAAGAUCCUCACUCCUGCUUUUCCAAGUAGAGAUACCGACACCAAGUUCCAACGGAUAUCUGGCACAUGAAGAACAUCACGUAGGGCAAGCACUUUUCCAGAUGUUAGCUUGAGGAGAACUUUCCCUUUGCCAAUCACUGGAGUAGAUCUAGAAUCACCCAUGAACACUUGUUCCUCUCCUUUCUUUAUAGUGGUAUAGGAAGUAAAUGCAUUUCUAUUCCCACAGAUGUGCCUAUUAACCCCAAAGUCUACUACCCAUUCCUUCAUAUUGGUGACCAUGCUCACCUCAAAGGAGAUUACUGUUGUGAUCACCUCUGUCUCUGCCAGAUUUGCCUUUGAACUGGUCUUCUCAAUUCUCUUCCUAUGGCGACAUUGAGCUGCAUGGUGUCUAGACUUGCCACAGACAAAGCAAUUACCCCAUUUUUUAAUAAUUGAGUUUUGGACCUUGUUUAAUGCAUUGGGCUUUGUCCUAAAGUUUUGUUUCCUAAACCUAUUAUUUUUGGGUUUAGAUUUUUCUUCUACUACAUUAGCUUUAGAAGACAAUUCCUUAGUUUUCUCAAUAUUGUCCCUAUUUCGGUUUUGUUCCUCAAUCCUAAUAUGGAUUAUGACAUCCUCUAAGGACAUUUGUUUCCUUUUAUGUUUCAUUUUGUUUUUAUAGUCUUUCCAAGACUCCGGAAGAGCCUCUACUAAAUAACCAGCCACAAAAGGUUCGGGUAAUUUAAUGUCUUCAAUAGCUAAGUCAUUAAUCAACAAGUGGUAGUCAUGGAUUUGAGAUGAUACAACUCUAUCCUCACUCAUUUGGAAAUUUCUAAAAUUCCCUAUGGCAUAUUUAUGAGUUCCCGCAUCUUGCAAAAUAUAUUCUUUAUUCAUUGCAUCCCAAAUUUAUUUUGCAACUUUAAAUUGACAAUAAAUAUCAAAAAGUUCAUUAGAAAGUGUACUCAGAAUAGCAUGGCUAACUUGUUUAUUUCUAGUUUCCCAGGUUGGUAACAUAUGAGAACCAUCUUCUGGUUUUGGAUCAGUAAAAAUAUGUCCUAAGUUCACCACAUCAAUUGUAGAGAAAACCCUUUCCUGUCAUCUCUUAAAGAAUGUCCCAUUAAAUGGAUUAAUUUUAGAGGUGUCAGGAUGGGUGUGAAUUAGGGAAGCUUUCAUUUGAAUUUAUUUCAAGAUUGUUGGAUUUUAAGGGUAUGGAAACAAAGACUAGCCCAAAAGACACAAACAAAGAACAUCAUGAAUAAAAAAAAAAAACUUAUCGGCUGAGGCAUGACAAGCACUGUCCUUGAAAUAGAUCCACCCUCCUCAAAGACGAACUCGGUGCACUAUGUGAGAAAGGGUAUAAAUAAUGUGAGAUAAGGUACAAAAAAAUGUGAAAAAAAUGUACGAAUAAUGUGAGAAAAUGGUAUGCACAAUGUUAUAAAAUGGUAUGAACAAUGUGAAAAAAGAUACAAAUAAUAUGAGACAUGGUAUGAAUUAUGUGAGAGGGGAUACAAAUAAUGUGAGGGAAGGUACAAACACUAUGAGAAAGAGUACAAACAAAACAAGGAAAUGUACAAACAAUGUGAUAAAUGGUACGAAAAAUGUAAGACAUGGUAUGAAUAAUGUGAGAUAGGGUACAAAUAAUGUGAUAUAAUGUAUGAAGAAUGUGAGCAUGGGUAUGAAGAAUGUGAGAAAUUGUACGAAAAAUGUGGAAAAAAAAGUACGAACAAUGUGAGAAAUUAUACAAAACAAUGCAAGACAUAUGGUACAAAUAAUGUGAGAGAGAUGGUAUGAAAAAUUUGAAAUAUGAUACGAACAAUGUAAGGAAUGUUACAACCAAUAUGAGAAAGAAUACAAAGAAUAUGAGGAAGGAUACGAAGAAUGUGAGACAUAGUAUGAAAAAUCUGAGAAAGGGUACGAACAAUGUGAGAAAGAAUACAAAGAAUGUGAGAUAGGGUAUAAAUUGUAAAGAAGCCCAGAUCACUCUAUUCCAUAUCUUAGAAUUAGGUUAGAUGCAUGCAAAAACUUUCCUAGGUUUUUCUAAAUCCUAUGCAUAAUAAAAACAAACAUUUAAAAACUUUAGCAAGAUUUAAAAAUCAAAAGAGAAAAACUUUACAUUGAUUUGGAUAUUCUCAAAUCAAAUCCAUGUGGUGAAGUUGAAGCUUGAAGUAUUCAAAGGUCUCAAUGACUCAAACUCGAUAUUUGAACCCCAAAGGUGGGUUGGCUAUUGCUAUCUACAAAUUGGAUGAUAGAACACAACUAUCUUAAAAACCCUAACCUUUGAGAAGGUAUUUAUAGGGUUCCUUAAUUAGGCUUAAGUGACUUAAGCUUACCGUGGACUUAGGUCACUUAAUUUAGCUCAAAAUAUGUCUUAAUCAAUUAAUUACAUGACACUAUUAGGUUAAUUGAUUAAUUAACCUAAUACGGCCAAUCAAUUAACCUAAUAGGGCCAUGUAAUUAAUCAAUUAACCUAAUCUAGAGGUUUUAUUCACUUACCUUUGUGUAACCUUACAUAAUUACCAAAACAUUAUUAUGCACAAAAGUUAAUUAAGAGUUAACCUAACCCUUAUGAACCAUUCCACCAAGGUAUAUGAACUCGAGUGGGGACCCCACUAGGAACCAUAGGAUAAUACUGACACAUUCAUAAUCUAGUUUUGAAGUUAACUCAACAUUCCACUACAAAAAAUUAAUUGCACCACAAUAUCCUAUGUACAAUACAAUGAGACACCAAGUUCUCUAGAUCGUGACCUAUUAUCCACUAAUUGCACCACAAUAUCCUAUGUGCAUAUGAUCAAAUGACAUGCCCUACCUCACUAAGAGCAUACGUCAAAUUACUAAAGGAAUUACUAUGUCUCCACAAAUUUCAUGAUCACACGUCCUUAGGAUCACCCAAUGGAACACACUCUCUUAAAGUCCAUGAGAUAUCGUGGUGUCUCUAAUGAGAAUACCAAUUGUUAUCGGCUUCCAUCAAUAGUGACUUAAUCCAUAGGAAAUAUAUGAUCAACUUACGAUCUCACAAUAGGUCAAAACCUCUACUAACUUUAACUUAUAUAAGCUUAGUAUUCUCUUAAGGUUGAGAGACAAUACAAUAUAAUAGCUUGGUGAAGUCAUGACUACAUGAUAGUCUUAUGUCGUGACUCACCAUAGGUUCUGUUCAAUAUUGUGCAAACUUACACACUAGUGCACUCACCAUGGGAACCCCAUCCCAAUGGCCAAGACCAAUCAUUCCUCCUAUUAGAAGGUAGUGCACUACAACUUCUAAUGGGUUACCUAGGUUCAUGAACUAGCUAUGAACAAGUCAUCUAUUUGUAAUAAACCCAUGACUUGGAUCUUCUACGCAACUCCUAAUGCACUUAAGUCGCAUUUAAUCAAACCUAAAUGCUUACAAGGUAUAAUGAAUGUCAUGUCAUGUCAUGUCAUGCUUUUAAAGAUUUUAUCAUAACUUGAAUAAUGUGAGACAUGGUACGAACAAUGUAAGAGAGAGUACAAAUAAUAUAAGAAAGAGUACACACAAUGUUAGAAAGAGUAUGAACAAUGUGAGACAAGAUAUGAAGAAUGUGAGGGAGGGUAUGAACAAUGUGAAGGAGGGUACAAACAAUGUGAGACAAUACAUGAAGAAUGUGAGGAAUGAUACAAAGAAUGUGAUGAAUGGUACAAAGAAUGUGAGGCAAGGUAAGAAGAAUGUGAGAAAGCGUACGAACAAUAUGAGAAAGUGUAUGAACACUGUGAGACAAUGUAUGAAUAAUGUGAGAUAAUGCAUGAAUAAUGUAAGAUAGUGUACAAAACAAAGUGAGAAAGAAUACGAACAAUAUGAGAAAUUAUAUGAAAAAUAUGGAGGGUAUAAAGAAUAUGAGAUAUUAUAUAAAUAAUGUGAGAAAAUAUAUGAAAAAUAUGAGACAUAGUACGAAUAAUGUAGAAAUGGUACGAACAAUGUGAAAUAAGCUAUGAAGAAUGUGAGAAAUAGUACUCUUCAUAUCCUUUCUCACAUUAUUUAUACCCUCACUCAUGUACUUUUGUACAUAUUCUCACAUUCUUUGUACAUUAUCUCGCAUACAAUAGAUAUUGUUUUAUUAAAUACAAAAAUUUUUUAAAAAAUAUUGAAUUUUUAAAAAACCAAAUUGAUAACAUGUAUGGCUAAAUAAUGUAGUUCUCUAACUACUAUUUUUUUAUUAUUUUAUUUUAGUUUCUUCAUGGAUAUAAUGGACAAAGGCAAAGGAAAGAAAUUCAUCAUUGAUUUGAAUAAUGAAAACUUUGAUUAAUAAUAUGAUUGCAAUGUGAAAACGGAGUUUGACAAAAAGCCCAUGCUAGUUUAAGAGAAUAUUUUGUAUGGUUUAAGCCUUGAAGAUGUAUGGGAAAUGGAGUUCAACUCAAUAGAUGAGAUAGAAGAAUUUUACAAUUUAUACGUAAAGUUAACAAAUUCAAUGUUAGAAAGGAUGAUGUUAAAUGAGAUAAGAAUCAAAAUAUAGCAUCUCAUAUGUGGGUUUGCUCAAAGAAGGAUAAAGACAAACAAUAUGUUUGGAGAAUGAAAAUCGAAAACGAGAACAUAAGACAAUAACUAGAGUUGGUUGUGAGACAUCACUUCGUAUCGAGUUUAACAAACAAAUAAAUAAGUGCAUUAUGAUGGAGUUUAUGGGUGAUCAUAAUCAUCCUUUGGUGGAACCAAAAAUACCCAAUUCUUUCAAUCCCAAAGGGUCAUGAGGAAUGCAUAUAAGGCUUAAUUGAGUGCAAUGCGUAGUGUUUGCCUGAGAACUAGACAAUUUAUGGAUUACAUGGUGCAACAAUUAGAUGGAUAUAUUAAUGUGGGCUUCACAAAGAAAAAAAGAUCUAUAUAACCAUGUUAAUGUUGAUUGUAAAGUUCAGAUAAGAAAUGGUGAUACAAAGGGUACACUUUCUUACUUGUGUGGAAAGGUUUAAAUGGAUACAUCAUUUUAUUACAAGUACAAUGUUGAUAAAGACAAUCGCUUAACGAACUUGUUUUGGCCAAAUUCUACAAGAAUAUUGGAUUACACUUAUUUCAGAAAUGUGUUAGCAUUUAAUAGAACUUAUGAGACUAAUGCUAAUAGAAAACUAUUGGUCAUCUUAGUUGACAUUAACCAUCACAAUCAAAUUGUAGUGUUUAGAUGUGCAUUAUUGGUAGAUGAGAGUCUUUACACUUAUACAUAGGUUUUGGAGACAUUUUUGGAUGUAAUGAAUAAAAAGAGGUUUUUUUUUUUUUUUUUUUCUGUUAUUAUAGAUGAGGACAAAGCAAGGUGUCAAGCCAUUAAGAGAAUAUUUCUAAAGUUUUAUCAUUGGUUAUGUGCUUAUUAUAUUCAACGCAAGACAUUCAUUAAUGUCUAUGUCAAAGACUUUACUUAUCAUUUUUCUAGGUACAUGUUCAUGGAAGGCACCGUUAAUUUGAAUGUGCAUGGAGUGGCAUGGUGGAAAUGUGUAAUCUCCAUGAACAUAAUUGGGUGAUAGACAUAUAUGCUAAGUGUCCUAGAUGGGCAAAGGCUUAUUUAAAGGUGCAUUUUUUUGCAAGUUUGAAAGCGCACAAAGGUGUGAAAGGAUGAAUGCAUACUUGAAUAGUUUCCUUAAAACUCAUUUAAAGUUGUUUGAGUUUUUGAAGCAUUUUGAUUGAGCACUCUCAUGUAUUCAUCAUAAUGACGCAAAGGCAAAGUUUGAGAUGCACACUCUUUUACUUCUUCUAAACUCCAAACUCCAUGAAAUUGAGAAAUAUACAGAGAUUGUUUUCACUCGGAAAUCUUUUCUCAAAUUUAGGGAUGAAAUGAAUGCGAAACUUUUUUCCCUUAUUAGUACAAAAAAUCAUAGAGGUUAUCAUGUCCAUACAUUGACUAAAUUUAGAAGCUCUGACAAGUUCUCAAAAGUAUGUUAUGGUAAUUGUGAUUAGUCUAUGAAAUGUACUUGGAAAGGGAGACACAGGUUGGUGGUCUUUUGGGGGGAAUAGAAUAUAGAGAGGGAGACACCACUUUUUUGGAGAACGGAGGUCCACACAGGUUCAGAUUUUGGUGAGGCUUUCCCGGGAUUUUCGGAAGCAGAUUCAACAGAUUUUGGUGAAGGAGUUCUCUAGGCGGUUUUUUCUGUUGUUAAGUGGCAGCCGCAUGGACUGCAUGAGGAGGGUUGACGUCUCAUAGUUACCUUCUUUCCUCCAUUGAUAGUAGCCCACAAGGCCACCUUAAGUGGGCGACACAAUACGGCUGCCAUGCACGCAUGAGGCAGCCAUGACGCUGCCAUGUGGGAGAAGGUAGCAACCACUUCCGCAUUUUUUCUAUGUAUCUCCAGAAACUCCUUUGUACAGCCCACACACGGGCUAAUGAAGCAGAUUCGGCAUAUUUUUAGAGGGGGAAUCUUGAAACCACACAACAUCAAGAGACUUGGCCGGAAGUGUGAUGAUGGGUGUUUCCAAAGAAAAGUUAUAAUUCGCCCACUGUUGAAUAUGUUCAUAGAUGUGAAGGGUCCCACGAGCCUUGAAUUUGUCACUACAUGCAAAAUAUAUGCAGAAGUGAUUACAAAAGCAUGACCACCUUUUCCUGCAUGUGAAUGUGUUGAGCUCUAUGGUGCAAUUACUAAUGAAAUUCUCAAUUUGGUUGAUAAGUAUUUUGAGAUGCAAAAGCAUGAUGUUGUCUGGGCAUUGGAAAUUUAUCAGAAAGCAGGAGAGCCAUCAAGCAUUCACCCGACAAGCAAGAGAAACACAUAGGCCGCACCAUUCUCCAACAAGACACAACAACAUACAUUCUUGAAGGUAAGUCCCUUUUUAAAAUUUUAUUUUAGUUUAAUUUUAAUUUAUUUAGUUAGUUUAGAUGUUUUUUUUUUCAUAAUUAGUUUAAUUAAUUCUACAUUAUAAAGUUCUUAUUUUUCAUUCCGAUUUAGUUUAGUGUUGAUUUUUCUUUUAAUUUAAGUGUGUUUGUGCUUUUAAUUCAAUAGUUUAAUUAAUCUUAUUAGAUAAAGUUCAUAUAUAUAUAUAUAUAUAUAUUAUCCAAAUUAGUUUAGUUUUAAUCUAUCUUUUAGUUUAAGUGUGUUAGUAAUUUUAAUUCAGUAGUUUAAAUAAUCAUGUCAGAUAAAGUUCGUGUUUUUAAUUUUAAUUAGCUUCGUCUUAAUUUAUUCUUUAGUUUAGAUUUGUUGUUGAUUAUAAUUUAUUAGUUUAAUUAAUCUUAUUAGAUAAAGUCUAAUUUCAAUUUAGUUUAGUUUUAAUUUAUUCUAUAAUUUGAGUUUGUUUGCGAUUUUAAUUCAAUUGUUUAAUUAAACCUCCUAGGUAAAGAUCUUGUUUUUAAUUCCGAUUUAGUUUAGUUUUAAUUUACUUAUUUAUUUAUUUAUUUUAGUUUAGAUGUGUUUGUAAUUUUAAUUCGACAAUUUAAUCGAUCUUAUUAGAUAAAGUUGAUGUUUUUAAUUCUAAUUUAGUUUAAUUUUAAUUUAUUUUUUAGUUUAAAUGUGUUUGUGCGUUUAAUUGACCUUAUGCUAGCUCUUGAUUUGUUAUUCUCAAUUUAGGCGUUUUCUUGAAUCUUAGUCAUUAAUUCUUGGUGAAUAUCUCAUUAGUUUAUUUAAUCUAAGUUUUAAUCAUUUAUUAUUUCGGUAGUCUCUUGUCAAAUUUACUUUUCAGAUGCCAUCGGAAAAUAGUGAAGAUUGACCUCCAUUCUCACCACUUUAGUUUGUUUGGUUGUCAAAAAUUUUACUUUAUGAUUUUGUUUACUUUUAUUUUGCCUGUUUCUUAUGUUUUGAUUGUUUUCAAAUUAUUUUAUUUUAUUUUUAAAUAAAAUAUUUUUCUCAAAAGAUCCAUUUGAAAAUUCUAUUUUAAAAAUAAUUCAUUUAGAGUCCUUAGAAUCAGAAUAUCAUUUUUUAAUAAUAUGCAACCAUGUCUUGAUUGGUUUGCAUUUUUCUCAGUUUUCAAUAAAAAUUCUGGUUUUAAAUGGAAUAUGAAUCCAAGCUUGUGGUCCCAAACAAAUGGGAUAAUUCUGGGCUAGAUUUCUGUAUAUCAAUUAGGGAAUUGGUGAAACCCCUACAUAAGAAAAUUCUUCAAAACUCAUAUUUUUUGCCACCUUUGCUAUUUCAUGAAAUCAUGUCUAUUUAUUUUUUAGGAAUGAUAUACAAGAUUUAUGUGAUAAUUGAUUAUUUCGUAUACUUUGAUCAUUUUUGCUAGGCUAAUUAUAUAACAAGCACGUUAGGAUAUCUUUAUUUUAUUAUUUAUUAUCUAACCCCUCAUGUCUUGUGAAAGCACGUUACAAGUUAUCUAUGCUAUCCAAGUACGUCCUCUAUCACCCACCUUCUAAAUUUUGUGAAUAUACCGAUCACUGUGAACUGCACUUAUGUUUGAUAGUGUUUGGGUGUCUUGAUAUUUGUUUCAUUGUUCAAUUAUUUUUUAUAAAGCGCAUGCUAGAUGAUAUAUUAUUUGAACUAACUUUGAUGUCUUAUGAGGGCGCUAAGAAGCAGUUUAGGUACACACCCUAAAUCUUCUUUAUAAUUAUGAUUUGUUUUUCUUAUUUGGCAUGCUAUUUUUGAAAUCACCUAGCUUACUUAGGUAUCCAUGAUCAACCAAUUAAUUGUCACAUUUCCCUCAACUUAGCCAGUAGAGAUCUUUUUAGGGCUUAGAGGAGUGUUACCUCUUAAAAGUACCUUCCCAAUAGGUAACCUGAUUCUUGAACCAAGACUUGGGUUUUCGAGACAUGCUUUUCCAAAAUUGUGGAGUCACUUAUUUAUGGUUUUCUUUCUUGUUUUAUUUUCCCUUUAAAGUAAAAUAAAAUAAGGGGCGACUCCAGCUUUUCCAAAACUAAUUUUUCACCAAUAAAAGCGAGUCUCGCUGAUUGAGUGGGAACGCACGUGAAAAAUGUGGGUCCACAGUAUAUAUGGGGCAACCUAAAGGAUUUAUUGUUAUAAGAUAAGAACACCAAGUUAGAGAUAGAUACAUUUAGCUAGGUUGGUUUUUAACCAAUCCAAGAAUCAAAUAGGAGUUCAUUGGUUUUAACUAAAGUACAACAAAUUUAUUUAUUUACUCAUACUAAUCCAACUUAAUAUCAAUUCGAUUCAGUUUAGUUAACUCAAUUUAUACAAAAAUAUUGAGUUUGUAUGUUUUUUUUCACUUUGACCAUACAACCAAAAUGAUCAAAUUGUUUUAGAUAUAUAUAUAUUUUACAAGUAAUACAAUUAAAUUUUUUUAAAAUAUGUGUAGGAGCAACCUGUGGGUUAUUUGCUUGUUGGGAGUAAGUCAAUGAGUAGUAUUAUUGACAUAUUGGGCACUUGUGACUUGAAAUUAUAUUAUCAUCAUUAUUAAGUCCCAAAGUACAAUGAUUUUAAAUUUUAGAUCAUGCUUAUGCCAUAAGCAACUUUUAAUUUGUAAUAAAGCCAUACGAGUUAGGCUCCAAGCCACUAACACCGAAUUGUAGCCCAACUAAGUUGGCUUUGGAUGAGCAUGGUUCGACUCAUAAAGUCCCAAGAUUCUCCACAACACUUCAAAGUCCAAGCAAUUAUAUUUGUCCCACUCCUCUACUACUUGGGUUUCUUUGCCAGUCCACUUUUGGUAAGUGAUCUAGGUUGAAUUUUCCAUAAACCAAAUACCAAAAUAGAAUUACUCAAGUAAGAAGACUUCUAAAGAGAAUAGUCUAAAGAGCUACUACAAAAGAGAAUUGGAGAUGGUUAGAGUAAUGGUGGUGGCUAUUGAAAGGGUUGAUGGUGGUGGGAAGCCAUAGCUACUAGUGAAGAGGAAGUUAGGUGAAUUGGAGACUCAGUGAAGAAGAUAAUGCGAACUUGAUAAAAUUUCCUUCAACUUUUCCUUCUCUCUCUUAUUUCCCCCACUAAUUUUUAAGGAAAGUAGUAGGGAAAAUAUUACAAUAUUUUCUUUAGUAUUUUCCUUUAUAUUUUUUUUCCAUCAUAUUUUUCAUGUCACCCAAACUGAGGAAAAUAACUUUCCAUAAUAUUUUUUUUCCCUUUCCCUUGCAUUUUCUGAAAACUAAACACAACCUUUAUAAAUAAAAAAUUAAGAAUUACAGUAAGACGGUAUAUUCUUCCUUUUUCUUCCUGCAUUUCUACAUCCACUACUCAAUUUUACAUCAUAUUUUUACUCCCUUCUUCAAUCAGCAUUCCUCUCUUUAUAUAGAGUUAUCUUCACACUAAUUCAUAAGAUAAGAAAGAUGAAUGAACCUUGGGGCAAGGUUGGACAAUUGGUGGCAGCUAGUCAAGGCUAGAAGUCAACUUUUGCUUGACUUUUUGGGAAUGGGUAGCAACGUGUCGACCUCUCUUAAGCAUGAAAAUGGCUAGAACGUGUUAAGCUCUCUUAUUAGAUGACGUGUCAACUAUAGGGCAAUCAUAGGAUGGGGAAUAUAUGGUAAUUAUGCAAAAAAAGAAAAAAAGAAAAAAAGAAAAAAAAAAUCGAUAUCCAAUUAUAUAGAAAGACAUCUUCCAACAUUUGAUAUAAAUAAAAAUUAAGAGAAAAAUAUUUUUAAAAAGCAUAUUAAACUAAAAAUAGGGAAUUAAUAAUAAAAUAAAGUAAAAAGGUAAAAUUAAAACCAAAUAUUAAAAAUAAUAUUAUUUAGGUUAAAUCAUUGGGUUUGCUAGAAGAGUUUAUAUAUAUAUAUAUAUAUUAGUUUUUUUUCUUCUUUUUAAUCCUAUCUAUGUUGUUGAUAUUAAUGCAUUGAAUUUGAUGUUACCUAAAACAAAAUUAUAUUUCAUGUUCUCUAUUAUAAGUGGACAACCAUACCUUAUGUUAUAUUUUAGAUAAAGAACGAAUAAUGAAGAUUGGAGUUGUAAGAAAUUAGGAGAUCCUAAUUUUAAAUAUGUAACAAAGUUCUAUAAUCACUCCAAUCCACAUUUAAAAAUUGUAUUUCUUUCUAAUAUGGGAGCAAACUUUUUCCUUCUUUCUUAUAAUUUUCAUUUGGGAAUGAUUUAAAAAUAAAUAAAUAAAAGCCCUUCUCAAUAUUAAAAAAAACACUCUUAUAAAAAUUAAUUAGGUGGAUGGUAAGGUCAUAUUCGGGAUAGCUUCAUAUUUUUUGCUUUAAUUGAAACUUAAAAUCAAAAUUAAAGUAAUAAUUUUUAAGAUGUUGUAAAAGUUUUAUUAAACAUGAAAGAACUUAUUGUGUAAACAAAAAUAGAACUAUAGAAUUCUUAUAAGAAAUAACAAUUUUAUGAAUUCUAUAUGAAACCUUUUUUAAAAGUUAUAAGUUUUUUUAUAAAUAAUUAAAUAGGUAUAGAAACUUUUAUUCAACUUAAUUUUUUUUAACAGUUAAAAGUCAAUCCAAAUAAAAUUUAAAUAUAUUUGAAAAUCAUUUUUAAAAAUCCAAAAAAUCACUUAAAAAUAAUUUCUGAACUUUUUUUUUUUUUAAUUUACAUUCAAAUACUAAGUGAUUCUUUUAAAAAUCAUUUAUAAUGUCAAAAUAUUUUUUUAUGGAUAAAAACACUAGAAAUAAAAAACAUUUUAAUUCAUGAAAUUUCAUUUAUUGUUAUUUAUUUUUUGGGAUUUAAUUCUUUACAAUUAUUUUUGAGUGUUUAUAAAGUAUAAUUAGGUUAUGCCCAAAUUUAUUCCUUUAACUCUAUCCAUUAGAUAUAAGUAGCGUGAAAUUUUGGCCUGUCUCCACCUUUCUUCACUUCUGACAUUGUCAUGCAGUGCUUCGUCAAUGGAUAAUAUAUUAAUUUAUUUCUUAAUUUAAUAGCAUUGGAGUGUCAGCNNNNNNNNNNNNNNNNNNNNNNNNNNNNNNNNNNNNNNNNNNNNNNNNNNNNNNNNNNNNNNNNNNNNNNNNNNNNNNNNNNNNNNNNNNNNNNNNNNNNNNNNNNNNNNNNNNNNNNNNNNNNNNNNNNNNNNNNNNNNNNNNNNNNNNNNNNNNNNNNNNNNNGAGGACAUGAGUGCUUGGAACAUACCAGGGUUGGAUGCCUCGAAUCUGAUUGCAACCCAACCAUUCGAAGGAACAGAGAUGGUAUUCUGAAAGGGAGGAUCCACCAGAUUAUAGCGCAAAGGGUCCUUAUUUCCAUCGAAAUUCCCAAAUCCCCAUCCAACAACAUAGAAACUGUAUCCAUGGAGAUGCAUGGGGUGGUGUGUCGCUGCAAGCACAUUUGUCCCUUGAAAAACAAUCUCCACUGUGGAGUUAUACUCGAGCACCCUUACUUCUGUUCCGCUGCUCGGCAACUGAUAGAUUAAUGGAAGAUAAUCAGCUGUAAAAUCGAACACCAGUGGUGGAUCACUAGGAAAUUUAUCUCCAUAUACACCACUGAUGUUAUAAUAGUAAGCUUGCAGUAUGUCAACUGUAGGGGUAUGGAAGCUUAUGUUGUUUAUACUUGAGGAGAAUCGCGUCCCAUUGGCCCCUGCACAUGAAUUAUUGACGCAUGGGUACGAGUUUACAGAAACAGUGUAAAUCAGGUUAGUGCUCGUGCUCAAUGGGACAUUGCAAGGAUGUUCCGCAUUUGCUAAGCUUCGGAGGCCGGCCAUGACCUGAACGGAUGCAUUUGUGUCAUUGUAUGCAGGAAGAUAAGGCAAGGAGGGAGGUGAAGAUGGAGUGUAGUAUCCGUUGUAUUGUACAAUAGCUGUGGUGGUUGUGUUAUCAUAAAAGUCUUGAUAUUUCGGGGCAACAGAAUAAGUUAUAGCCGCCAUGUAAUAGUGAUCCGGGCGUUGGUUAGCUUCUAGUAAGACAUCAUAGGUUUGGCCAGGAAAUAUUGUGAUAAAAUCUCGUGUCAA
rnacentral:lncRNA from 1 species